CAGCCGCCGCGGUAAUACGAAGGGGGCUAGCGUUGUUCGGAAUUACUGGGCGUAAAGCGCACGCAGGCGGCUCGAUAAAUUAGAAGUGAAAGCCUCGGGCUUAACCUGAGAAUUGCUUUUAAGACUGUCGAGCUAGAAUCCAGAAGAGGGUAGUGGAAUUCCGAGUGUAGAGGUGAAAUUCGUAGAUAUUCGGAAGAACACCGAUGGCGAAGGCAAUCCCCUGGGCCUGCACUGACGCUCAUGCACGAAAGCGUGGGGAGCAAACAGGAUUAGAUACCCCCGUAGUCCCUGUCUCUUAUAU
rnacentral:rRNA from 1 species